AGAACGAACGCUGGCGGCAUGCCUAAUACAUGCAAGUCGAACGAACUCUUCGGAGUUAGUGGCGCACGGGUGCGUAACGCGUGGGAAUCUGCCCUUGGGUUCGGAAUAACAGUUGGAAACGACUGCUAAUACCGGAUGAUGACGAAAGUCCAAAGAUUUAUCGCCCAGGGAUGAGCCCGCGUAGGAUUAGCUAGUUGGUGAGGUAAAGGCUCACCAAGGCGACGAUCCUUAGCUGGUCUGAGAGGAUGAUCAGCCACACUGGGACUGAGACACGGCCCAGACUCCUACGGGAGCAGCAGUAGGGAAUAUGGACAAUGGGCGAAAGCCUGAUCCAGCAAUGCCGCGUGAGUGAUGAAGCCUUAGGUUGUAAAGCUCUUUACCCGAGAUGAUAAUGACAGUAUCGGAGAAUAAGCCCGGCUAACUCCGUGCCAGCAGCCG
rnacentral:rRNA from 1 species